UGGACAGAAAGACCCUAUGAAGCUUGACUGUAUUCUGGAAUUGGGUUCGGGCUUUUCUUGCGCAGAAUAGGUGGGAGGCUAUGAAGGUUCCCUUCCGGGGGGACUAGAGCCAUCAGUGAGAUACCACUCUGGAAGAGCUAGAAUCCUAAUGGUGAUCUUUGAAUCAAGACACUUAACAGUUCCAGAAGGGCAGUUUAUCUGGGGCGGAUUCCUCAUAAAGUGUAACUGAGGUGUGCAAAGGUUCUCUCAGUCUGGACGGAAAUCAGACAUUGAGUGCAAAGGCAAAAGAGAGCUUGACUGCAAGACCAACAAGUCGAGCAGGGGCGAAAGCCGGCCUUAGUGAUCCGACGGUGCCGUGUGGAAGGGCCGUCGCUCAACGGAUAAAAGUUACUCUAGGGAUAACAGGCUGA
rnacentral:rRNA from 1 species